rnacentral:rRNA from 1 species
UACGGGGGGAGCAAGCGUUGUUCGGAUUUACUGGGCGUAAAGGGCGCGUAGGCGGCCACCGCAAGUCGACUGUGAAAUCUCUGAGCUUAACUCAGAACGGCCAAGUGAUACUGCAGUGCUAGAGUGUGGAAGGGGCAAUCGGAAUUCUUGGUGUAGCGGUGAAAUGCGUAGAUAUCAAGAGGAACACCUGAGGUGAAGACGGGUUGCUGGGCCAACACGUGACGCUGAUGCGCGAAAGCCAGGGGAGCAA